rnacentral:rRNA from 1 species
UUGAAAGGGAAACGAUUGAAGUCAGUCUUGCCGGCGCGAAAUCAGCUUGACCGGUAGAAGAUCACAGGCUGUGGCGAGCCUCAAAACCGCCACAACUUGUGCUUUUCUGCCGGCCUCGUGCACUUUCGUGUCGGCUGGUUAACAUCAAUUUCGAUCGUCAUAAAAAGGCUGGAGGGAUGUGGCUCCUUCGGGAGUGUUAUAACCUUUGGCGGAAUGUGGUGGUCGGGAUUGAGGUUUGCAACGAAUACCUUCAGGGCUGUUCCACCUGGCCUCUCAUCAG